CCAAUAGCGUUGAAAAGGAAAAGUAGUCAUUGGCAAAGCAUUUUACAGAGAGCCGGGUAGCUGGAAGCCGGCAAUGCUCCAAUGCAUGAACUCACCUUUGAGCUUCAGCUUGAACGGCGACCAGUAGAGCUGGACGGGUGCAUACCAGUACCCGUUACCAAAACAGAGCAGUGAAGCCUGCUCAAAGUGCGCAUGAUUGUAGUGCGAAAAAGGGUGGUACCGUGGAAUGGACAUAUAGCCUUUUCACCCCUUUA
rnacentral:ncRNA from 1 species